rnacentral:rRNA from 1 species
GACGAACGCUGGCGGCGUGCUUAACACAUGCCAGUCGAACGAAGAGCGAUGGAAGCUUGCUUCUAUCAAUCUUAGUGGCGAACGGGUGAGUAACGCGUAAUCAACCUGCCCUUCAGAGGGGGACAACAGUUGGAAACGACUGCUAAUACCGCAUACGAUCUAAUCUCGGCAUCGAGGAUAGAUGAAAGGUGGCCUCUACAUGUAAGCUAUCACUGAAGGAGGGGAUUGCGUCUGAUUAGCUAGUUGGAGGGGUAACGGCCCACCAAGGCGAUGAUCAGUAGCCGGUCUGAGAGGAUGAACGGCCACAUUGGGACUGAGACACGGCCCAGACUCCUACGGGAGGCAGCAGUGGGGAAUCUUCCGCAAUGGACGAAAGGCUGACGGAGCAACGCCGCGGGAGUGAUGACGGCCUUCGGGUUGUAAAGCUCUGUUAAUCGGGACGAAAGGCCUUCUUGCGAAUAGUGAGAAGGAUUGACGGUACCGGAAUAGAAAGCCACGGCUAACUACGUG